rnacentral:rRNA from 1 species
UACGUAGGGGGCAAGCGUUGUCCGGAAUCAUUGGGCGUAAAGCGUGCGUAGACGGUUAUUUAAGUCGGGUGUGAAAGCCCCGGGCUCAACCUGGGAAUUGCAUUCGAGACUGAAUAGCUAGGGUACGGUAGAGGGAAGUGGAAUUUCCGGUGUAGCGGUGAAAUGCGUAGAUAUCGGAAGGAACAUCAGUGGCGAAGGCGGCCUGCUGGGCUGUUGCUGACGCUGAGGCGCGACAGCGUGGGGAGCAAACAGG